AGAGUUUGAUCCUGGCUCAGGAUGAACGCUGGCGGCGUGCCUAACACAUGCAAGUCGAACGAAACACAUUUUUGGAUCCUUCGGGUGAAAGAAAAGUGACUGAAUGGCGGACGGGUGAAUAACGCGUGGGUAACCUGCCUCACACAGGGGGAUAACAGCUGGAAACGGCUGCUAAUACCGCAUAAGCGCACAGUACCGCAUGGUACAGUGUGAAAAGUUUUUCGGUGUGAGAUGGACCCGCGUCUGAUUAUCUGGUUGGCGGGGUAACGGCCCACCAAGGCAACGAUCAGUAGCCGGCCUGAGAGGGUGGACGGCCACAUUGGGACUGAGACACGGCCCAAACUCCUACGGGAGGCAGCAGUGGGGAAUAUUGCACAAUGGGGGAAACCCUGAUGCAGCGACGCCGCGUGAGUGAAGAAGUAUUUCGGUAUGUAAAGCUCUAUCAUAAGGGAAGAAAAUGACGGUACCUGACUAAGAAGCUCCGGCUAAAUACGUGCCACCAGCCGCGGUAAUACGUAUGGAGCAAGCGUUAUCCGGAUUUACUGGGUGUAAAGGGUGCGUAGGCGGCAUGGCAAGUCAGGUGUGAAAGCCCGGGGCUCAACCCCGGUAGUGCACUUGAAACUGCUGAGCUGGAGUACGGGAGAGGUAAGCGGAAUUCCUAGUGUAGCGCGGAGAUGCGUAUAUAUUAAAGAGGAACACCAGUGGCGAAAGGCGGCUUACUGGAACGUAACUGACGCUGAGGGCACAAAAGACGUGGGGAGCAAACAGGAUUAGAUUCCCUGGUAGUUCACGCCGUAAACGAUGAAUAAUAGGUGUUGGGGGCGCAGAGGCUCUGGUGCCGUCACAAACGCAGUAAGUAUUUCACCUGGGGAGGACGUUUGCAAGAAUGAAAAUCAAAGGAAUUGACGGGGGGCCGCCCAAGCGGUGGGGCAUGUGGUUUAAUUUGAAGCAACGCGAAGAACCUUACCAAGUCUUGACAUUCCGGUGACCGGAACUUAACCGUUCCUUUUGUUUGGAGCACCGGAGACAGGUGGUGCAUGGUUGUUGUCAGGUUGUGUUGGGGGAUGUUGGGUUAAGUCCCGCAACGAGCGCAACCCUUGCCUUUUGUUGCCAGCAUUAAGUUGGGCGCUUUAGAGGGGCUGCCAGGGAUAACCUGGAGGAAGGUGGGGAUGACGUCAAAUCAUCAUGCCCCUCAUGCCCUGGGCUGCACACGUGCUACAAUGGCCGGUACAGAGGGAUGCGACCUGGCGACAGGAAGCGAAUCCCGUAAAGCCGGCCCCAGUUCGGAUCGCAGGCUGCAACCCGCCUGCGUGAAGCCGGAGUUGCUAGUAAUCGCGGAUCAGCAUGCCGCGGUGAAUACGUUCCCGGGCCUUGCACUCACCGCCCGUCA
rnacentral:rRNA from 1 species